GAUGAACGCUAGCGUCAGGCUUAACACAUGCAAGUCGAGGGGCAUCGGGAUUGAAGCUUGCUUCAAUUGCCGGCGACCGGCGCACGGGUGCGUAACGCGUAUGUAACCUACCUAUAACAGGGGCAUAACACUGAGAAAUUGGUACUAAUUCCCCAUAAUAUUCGGAGAGGCAUCUCUCCGGGUUGAGAACUCCGGUGGUUAUAGAUGGACAUGCGUUGUAUUAGCUAGUUGGUGAGGUAACGGCUCACCAAGGCAACGAUACAUAGGGGGACUGAGAGGUUAACCCCCCACACUGGUACUGAGACACGGACCAGACUCCUACGGGAGGCAGCAGUGAGGAAUAUUGGUCAAUGGACGCAAGUCUGAACCAGCCAUGCCGCGUGCAGGAAGACGGCUCUAUGAGUUGUAAACUGCUUUUGUACGAGGGUAAACUCACCUACGUGUAGGUGACUGAAAGUAUCGUACGAAUAAGGAUCGGCUAACUCCGUGCCAGCAGCCGCGGUAAUACGGAGGAUUCAAGCGUUAUCCGGAUUUAUUGGGUUUAAAGGGUGCGUAGGCGGUUUGAUAAGUUAGAGGCGAAAUCCCGGGGCUUAACUCCGGAACUGCCUCUAAUACUGUUAGACUAGAGAGUAGUUGCGGUAGGCGGAAUGUAUGGUGUAGCGGUGAAAUGCUUAGAGAUCAUACAGAACACCGAUUGCGAAGGCAGCUUACCAAACUAUAUCUGACGUUGAGGCACGAAAG
rnacentral:rRNA from 1 species